CAGCCCCAGCAACUCCCGGAUUUCCUCUUGCCGUACCAUCACAACAAAUAAGAAGUUCAUUACUCUCCGGAUAUGCUAAAUUGCACUUACACUUGGUGGUGCAUGUCUAUAAACAACUUCAGAGCUUCCCUGCAGCUUUUGUGGAAGCAGCAUAUCUCCAAUUUGAUGCAGGGAGUGUUGCAUCAUCCCUCUCUUAAACUGCAAAUCGGGUUUAAGGGUGAUAGAUUUCAAGCCUAUGAUGGAAGUGCAAGGCUGCAAAUUAUGCCAUUUGAACUCUUUGCAUCUUUGUUAUCUGGGUAUGCACUUCCAACGUGUUUGUGGUGCUUGAGAGGGUGACGGGAUUUUAAAAGUGGCAUCAACAACAACAAGAAUAAGCUUUCCUUCCUAUUUGGUAUCAAGAACUAAUAACCAACUGGCACUAGUUUUUGAGUUAUAGGUGAAAUUUUGAUUAAUUAUAAAUUGAUGACAAACACACUUUAUUAGAGGUUUACUAUAAGGAGAUCAGUGUGAAAAUAAAUUAUUAUCAAAUUAUUGCGCUUUGCAUAGUGCUAGGCAACUUCUUUUGUUAUUUACAUC